rnacentral:rRNA from 1 species
GACGAACGCUGGCGGCGUGCUUAACACAUGCAAGUCGAACGGGCCCGCUCUCUUUUUUGGGGGUGGGUUGCGUGGCGAACGGGUGAGUAUCACGUGAGUAACCUGCCCCCUGCUCCUGGAUAACUGCUUGAAAGGGCGGCUAAUACGGGGUGUGCCGGCUGGUCCGCAUGGGCCUGGUCGGGAUAGUUUCAUCUUCGGGUGUUUCGGGGGGGGAUGGGCUCGCGGCCUAUCCGCUUGUUGGUGGGGUGAUGGCCCACCAAGGCGGUGACGGGUAGCCGGCGUGAGAGGGUGGGCGGCCACACUGGGACUGAGACACGGCCCAGACGCCGGCGGGAGGCAGCAGUGGGGGGUAUUGCACAAUGGGCGGAAGCCUGAUGCAGCGACGUCGCGUGAGGGAUGGAGGCCUUCGGGUUGUGAACCUCUUUCUCCGGUGGUGAAGGCCCUGUCCGUUGCGGCGGGGUUGACGGUAGCCGGGGAUGAAGCGCCGGCUAACUACGUG